CCACAGAAGGCAGGACGCCGUGACCAUGUCCACCAUGGCCUGGUCCCCUCUGCUCCUCACCCUGGUCACUCUCUGCACAGGAUCCUGGGCCCAGGCUGUGCUGACCCAGCCGCCCUCUGUGUCCGCGUCCCUGGGCCAGAGGGUCACCAUCUCCUGCACCGGAAGCAGCAGCAACAUUGGGCUAUUGGGUGUGAGCUGGUACCAACACCUCCCAGGAUCAGCCCCUAAAACCCUGAUCUAUGAUAGUAACAAACGACCCUCGGGGGUCCCCGACCGAUUCUCUGGCACCAAGUCUGGCAACACAGGCACCCUGACCAUCACUUCGCUGCAGGCUGAGGACGAGGCUGAUUAUUACUGUGCGUCUCUUGAUUUCAGCCUUAAUAGUGGUGUUUUCGGCAGCGGGACCAAGCUGACCGUCCUGGGUCAGCCCAAGUCCGCACCCUCGGUCACUCUGUUCCCGCCCUCCACGGACGAGCUCAACACCAACAAGGCCACCCUGGUGUGUCUCAUCAGCGACUUCUACCCGGGUAGUGUGACCGUGGCCUGGAAGGCAGACGGCAGCACUGUCACCCGGGGCGUGGAGACCACCCAGCCCUCCAAACAGAGCAACAGCAAGUACGCGGCCAGCAGCUACCUGACCCUGACGGGCAGCGAAUGGAAAUCUAAAGGCAGUUACAGCUGCGAGGUCACGCACGAGGGGAGCACCGUGGCGAAGACAGUGAAGCCCUCAGAGUGCUCUUAAGGCCCCAGGCCCCCACCCCAGCAGGUUCUACCCUCCCACCUUGGUUCCCCGAGCCCUUCCUCCUACACACAAUCAGCUCUCAAUAAAAUGUCCUCAUUGUCAUUCAGAAA